CCUGCUGCCUUUACCAUCAGAACCAAUUGAGAGUCCGAUACCUGCAUUGGUGUUUGCCGACACCACGGACCGCACACGAGGGAACCCCUUGCUGGAGCCCUCCAUCCGCCCAGGCAUCCACGCCGGAACCAUCGCGGAGAUCACUGCGCUUGCUACCAUCAACCCGUCGCAGUGCGGGACCAGCAGCCACGAUUGUCAGUAUAGGAAAGAAAAACCUGGCUUAACCUCCCGCCAGUCCCCCUGUGGUCACCAUGCUGAUAUGACGCACGAGGUCCGCAAGUGUAGUUGAAGGAGUAUAAGGGAACCAAUGUAACCGUGCCACUGGAUAACUUUAAAGACUCUAAGAUUUUGUGAUAAAAUGAGUAAUGUCAUUACAAAGUACAGUUGAUGGUGCAAGAAAAAAGAACAAGCCUUAUAUCGGUCUGCGGGUGGAAAAAUCAAAGAGUAAAUUCUCCUAAAAGGCGAGGAGGAAAAAACGGAAAAAGCAAAAAUGAAAAUUGGAAGUGUCCUCAAGGCCGAAAUGGGCUGCGUCCGCUAAGGGGUUAAACAAUUUGUCAUUUUCUGGGGUAAAUAGGCUGUAAAGUUCCGACUGAAUAAAGGCGUGAGGCGAGCACCAGGUACGGCAAUGAAGAAAGCACGGAGGAGUGUGAUCGGAGAGCAGUGUCAUGUCGCAAUGUGACAAAACUUUUAAUAGAAAAACCAUUUGAGAGAGUCUCAUCGGCCCCUGAUGUAUGUGCUCCGGAACGUAUGAAGGAGAUGUGUCGAUGGAAAUGGAACUAUAAUAGCAAAUGGUUUUCAUUACGUGGAGCGAUGUAGAAACACAAAAUAUA